rnacentral:rRNA from 1 species
CAGAUAUCAGGAGGAACACCGAUGGCGAAGGCAGAUCUCUGGGCCGUAACUGACGCUGAGGAGCGAAAGGGUGGGGAGCAAACAGGCUUAGAUACCCUGGUAGUCCACCCCGUAAACGUUGGGAACUAGUUGUGGGGUCCUUUCCACGGAUUCCGUGACGCAGCUAACGCAUUAAGUUCCCCGCCUGGGGAGUACGGCCGCAAGGCUAAAACUCAAAGGAAUUGACGGGGACCCGCACAAGCGGCGGAGCAUGCGGAUUAAUUCGAUGCAACGCGAAGAACCUUACCAAGGCUUGACAUACACGAGAACACCCUAGAAAUAGGGGACUCUUUGGACACUCGUGAACAGGUGGUGCAUGGUUGUCGUCAGCUCGUGUCGUGAGAUGUUGGGUUAAGUCCCGCAACGAGCGCAACCCUCGUUCUAUGUUGCCAGCACGUAAUGGUGGGAACUCAUGGGAUACUGCCGGGGUCAACUCGGAGGAAGGUGGGGAUGACGUCAAAUCAUCAUGCCCCUUAUGUCUUGGGCUUCACGCAUGCUACAAUGGCCGGUACAAAGGGCUGCAAUACCGUGAGGUGGAGCGAAUCCCAAAAAGCCGGUCCCAGUUCGGAUUGAGGUCUGCAACUCGACCUCAUGAAGUCGGAGUCGCUAGUAAUCGCAGAUCAGCAACGCUGCGGUGAAUACGUUCCCGGGUCUUGUACACACCGCCCGUCAAGUCAUGAAAGUCGGUAACACCUGAAGCCGGUGGCCCA